AAAUUGAAGAGUUUGAUCAUGGCUCAGAUUGAACGCUGGCGGCAGGCCUAACACAUGCAAGUCGAACGGUAACAGGAAGCAGCUUGCUGCUUUGCUGACGAGUGGCGGACGGGUGAGUAAUGUCUGGGAAACUGCCUGAUGGAGGGGGAUAACUACUGGAAACGGUGGCUAAUACCGCAUAACGUCGCAAGACCAAAGAGGGGGACCUUCGGGCCUCUUGCCAUCAGAUGUGCCCAGAUGGGAUUAGCUUGUUGGUGAGGUAACGGCUCACCAAGGCGACGAUCCCUAGCUGGUCUGAGAGGAUGACCAGCCACACUGGAACUGAGACACGGUCCAGACUCCUACGGGAGGCAGCAGUGGGGAAUAUUGCACAAUGGGCGCAAGCCUGAUGCAGCCAUGCCGCGUGUAUGAAGAAGGCCUUCGGGUUGUAAAGUACUUUCAGCGGGGAGGAAGGUGUUGUGGUUAAUAACCGCAGCAAUUGACGUUACCCGCAGAAGAAGCACCGGCUAACUCCGUGCCAGCAGCCGCGGUAAUACGGAGGGUGCAAGCGUUAAUCGGAAUUACUGGGCGUAAAGCGCACGCAGGCGGUCUGUCAAGUCGGAUGUGAAAUCCCCGGGCUCAACCUGGGAACUGCAUUCGAAACUGGCAGGCUUGAGUCUUGUAGAGGGGGGUAGAAUUCCAGGUGUAGCGGUGAAAUGCGUAGAGAUCUGGAGGAAUACCGGUGGCGAAGGCGGCCCCCUGGACAAAGACUGACGCUCAGGUGCGAAAGCGUGGGGAGCAAACAGGAUUAGAUACCCUGGUAGUCCACGCCGUAAACGAUGUCUACUUGGAGGUUGUGCCCUUGAGGCGUGGCUUCCGGAGCUAACGCGUUAAGUAGACCGCCUGGGGAGUACGGCCGCAAGGUUAAAACUCAAAUGAAUUGACGGGGGCCCGCACAAGCGGUGGAGCAUGUGGUUUAAUUCGAUGCAACGCGAAGAACCUUACCUGGUCUUGACAUCCACGGAAGAAUCCAGAGAUGGAUUUGUGCCUUCGGGAACCGUGAGACAGGUGCUGCAUGGCUGUCGUCAGCUCGUGUUGUGAAAUGUUGGGUUAAGUCCCGCAACGAGCGCAACCCUUAUCCUUUGUUGCCAGCGGUUAGGCCGGGAACUCAAAGGAGACUGCCAGUGAUAAACUGGAGGAAGGUGGGGAUGACGUCAAGUCAUCAUGGCCCUUACGACCAGGGCUACACACGUGCUACAAUGGCGCAUACAAAGAGAAGCGACCUCGCGAGAGCAAGCGGACCUCAUAAAGUGCGUCGUAGUCCGGAUUGGAGUCUGCAACUCGACUCCAUGAAGUCGGAAUCGCUAGUAAUCGUGGAUCAGAAUGCCACGGUGAAUACGUUCCCGGGCCUUGUACACACCGCCCGUCACACCAUGGGAGUGGGUUGCAAAAGAAGUAGGUAGCUUAACCUUCGGGAGGGCGCUUACCACUUUGUGAUUCAUGACUGGGGUGAAGUCGUAACAAGGUAACCGUAGGGGAACCUGCGGUUGGAUCACCUCCUUA
rnacentral:rRNA from 1 species